rnacentral:rRNA from 1 species
AGCGAACGCUGGCGGCAGGCCUAACACAUGCAAGUCGAACGAAGUCUUCGGACUUAGUGGCGGACGGGUGAGUAACACGUGGGAACGUGCCUUUAGGUUCGGAAUAACUCAGGGAAACUUGUGCUAAUACCGAAGGUGCCCUUCGGGGGAAAGAUUUAUCGCCUUUAGAGCGGCCCGCGUAUGAUUAGCUAGUUGGUGGGGUAAUGGCCCACCAAGGCUACGAUCAGUAGCUGGUCUGAGAGGAUGACCAGCCACAUUGGGACUGAGACACGGCCCAAACUCCUACGGGAGGCAGCAGUGGGGAAUCUUGCGCAAUGGGCGAAAGCCUGACGCAGCCAUGCCGCGUGGAUGAUGAAGGUCUUAGGAUUGUAAAAUCCUUUCACCGGUGAAGAUAAUGACUGUAGCCGGAGAAGAAGCCCCGGCUAACUUCGUGCCAGCCGCCGCGGUAAGAC